AAACUGAAGAGUUUGGGGAUCAUGCGCUCCCAAGGAUUGAACGCUGGCGGCGGACGCGGAUGCACAUACAAGUCGACGGCGUGUAACAGGGGGUGCUUGCACCCGCUGACGAGCGGCGGACAGGUGAGUAAUGCGUAGGAAACUGCCCAGUAGUGGGGGAUGGCCCGGGAAGGCCGGAUUAAUACGGCGUACGCCCUGUCGGGGGAAAGCAGGGGAUCUCGGACCUUGCGCUCUUGGAUACGCCGCCGGCGUCGGAUCUGAAGCUGGUUGGUGCGGUGGAGCUACACGCUGAGGCGGCUGCGCCAUGCAGCUAGUCUGAGAGGAUGUAAGUCAGCCACAUCGGGACUGAGAUAUUUUUGGCCUGCCCAAGCCCCACGGGAAGCAGCAGGGGGAAUAUUGUGGAUGUCGGGGCAGCCACACUGAUCCAGCCAUGCCGUGCGUGUGAAGAAGGCUUUCAGGUUGUAAGCGCACUUCGGGAGAAGAAAAGUUGGGUACAAAUUCUUCCCAUUCCAGCCCUUGACGUUACCUGGCAGAAGAAGCUUCGGCUAACUCCAGCACGCAGCCGCGGCAACCGCGAUGUGCGGGGUGCAGGGCGUUAAAUCGGAAUUACGCUACACUGGGCGCAAAGCGUGCUGCAUGGUGGCUUUCCGAUAAGCGAGAUCUGCGCGAAGCCUGAAACCCAGCUUCGAACCCGGGAAAACAACAUUUUGAACCGCCGCCGGCCAGAGGCAUGUUAGAGGAGUGGAUUUUCCUGUUCUUGCGGUGAAAUGCGUGCAGAUGGAGAAGGCAAGGAAACACUCAUUGGCGAAGGCGGGCACUUCAACUGGGCACAUCUGCAGCUACUGAGGUGCGAAAGCGUAGAGGAGCAAAACAUGAUUCGAUACCUGGUAGAUCUUUGCGUCCAUCAGCAGUACCUAUACUACUAGCCGUUCGGGACUCUGAAGCCCGAGAGGGUGCAAGCUAACUGUACCUCAGCAGAUCCGCCUGAAGAUUUUUGAACGGCAGUUAAAAACUCAAAUGAAUUAAUGGGGCCCGCACAAAGCGGUGGAACAUGUGUGUGUUUAAUUCUGACGCUAACGCGAAGAGUUGCUUACCUAGCCUUGACAUGCAGAGAACUUUCCAGAGAUGGAUUGGUGCCUUCGGGAACUCUGAGCUGGGAUACGUAAGCAUGGCUGUUCGUCAAACAAUCGUGUCGGUGAUGAUGUUGGGUUAGAAGUCCAUGUUAAGCGGCGCAACCCCUAUCCCUGGGUUGCUAGUGGUUUGAGCUGCAGAGACUCUAGGGGAGACUACCGAUGAUAAACCGGGAGAGAUGCAGGGACUGGCCAUCAGGUCUAUUAUACUAGCACUUACUGACCGGAACUGCCCACAUGCUACAAAUGGCUUUUGGGGCGCAGAGGCUGGAGACACCCACGAGAGGGCCAAUCUCUGCUAACACGUCUGUGAGUCGGAUGAUCCGAGUCUGCAUCUCGACUGCCGUGAAGAUCAGAAUCGCUGGUAAUCGUGAGAUCAAAAUAUCACAGUGGAUGGAUUACUGGCGCAUGCACACACCGCCCGUCACACCAUGGGAGUGGAUUGCACCACGGAAGGUGGUUGAAGCCCGCAUGGAGGGUUUGAGUCGCCACGGUGUGGUUCAUGACUGGGGAGGAUGAGAAUCAAUAACAAGGUAGCCGUAGGGGAACCUGCGGCUGGAUCACCUCCUUAA
rnacentral:rRNA from 1 species